CAGCAGCCACGGGAAUACAGAGGGUGCGAGCGUUAAUCGGAUUUACUGGGCGUAAAGCGUGCGUAGGCGGCUAAUUGAGUCGGAUGUGAAAUCCCCGAGCUUAACUUAGGAAUUGCAUUCGAUACUGGGAAGCUAGAGUAUGGGAGAGGAUGGUAGAAUUCCAGGUGUAGCGGUGAAAUGCGUAGAGAUCUGGAGGAAUACCGAUGGCGAAGGCAGCCAUCUGGCCUAAUACUGACGCUGAGGUACGAAAGCAUGGGGAGCAACAGGAUUAGAUACCCCUGUAGUCCCUGUCUCUUAUACA
rnacentral:rRNA from 1 species